rnacentral:rRNA from 1 species
AUUGAACGCUGGCGGCAUGCUUUACACAUGCAAGUCGAACGGCAGCGCGGGCUUCGGCCUGGCGGCGAGUGGCGAACGGGUGAGUAAUACAUCGGAACGUGCCCAGUAGUGAGGGAUAGCUCGGCGAAAGCCGGAUUAAUACCGCAUCCGACCUGAUGGUGAAAGGGGGGGAUCUUCGGACCUCGCGCUAUUUGAUGGGCCGAUGGCAGAUUAGCUAGUUGGUGGGGUAAAGGCCUACCAAGGCGACGAUCUGUAGCUGGUCUGAGAGGACGACCAGCCACACUGGGACUGAGACACGGCCCAGACUCCUACGGGAGGCAGCAGUGGGGAAUUUUGGACAAUGGGCGAAAGCCUGAUCCAGCAAUGCCGCGUGUGUGAUGAAGGCCUUCGGGUUGUAAAGCACUUUUGGCGGGAAUGAAAAGGACUGUGCCAAUACCACGGUUCGAUGACGGUACCCGCAGAAUAAGCACCGGCUAACUACGUG